rnacentral:tRNA from 1 species
GGGCGGUUGGCUCAGCUGGUAGAGCGCCUCUCUUACACAGAGGAGGUCAAAGGUUCGACUCCUUUACCGCCCACUA